AUUGAACGCUGGCGGCAUGCUUUACACAUGCAAGUCGAACGGUAACAGGCCGCAAGGUGCUGACGAGUGGCGAACGGGUGAGUAAUGCAUCGGAACGUGCCCAGUCGUGGGGGAUAACGCAGCGAAAGCUGCGCUAAUACCGCAUACGAUCUAUGGAUGAAAGCGGGGGACCGUAAGGCCUCGCGCGAUUGGAGCGGCCGAUGUCAGAUUAGGUAGUUGGUGGGGUAAAGGCUCACCAAGCCAACGAUCUGUAGCUGGUCUGAGAGGACGACCAGCCACACUGGGACUGAGACACGGCCCAGACUCCUACGGGAGGCAGCAGUGGGGAAUUUUGGACAAUGGGGGCAACCCUGAUCCAGCAAUGCCGCGUGCAGGAAGAAGGCCUUCGGGUUGUAAACUGCUUUUGUAUGGAACGAAACGGUCUGGGUUAAUACCCUGGGCUAAUGACGGUACCGUAAGAAUAAGCACCGGCUAACUACGUGCCAGCAGCCGCCGUAAUAC
rnacentral:rRNA from 1 species